UAUUGUUGUUUUUGGACUUUCUAUUUAUAUAUAUAAUUGUUUUUGGGCUUUCUGCUUUCUACUUUCUAUUUUGCUAGAUAUGAUUGAUUUUUUAUCACCUUUUCACUUUUUGUGAACUUUAAUGGGAGAAUGCUUAUGGGGCUCUAAUGGUGUAGUAUUUGAGCCUUUUAUUAUACCUUAUAUUUUGCUACGCAUGAUGGAGUUUUGAUUGCCCUUCAUGAUUUAAUGAACUCCAAUGGAACUGUUAAUGUUCAGUGCUGUGAUUGUGCCGUCUCCCGACCGUUUUCUGUAAUAAUUUUUGUUGCAGCUAUAAUGAUUUUUUAUUAGCUUGUCUUUAGUUGGUUUAAAAGGAUUGUGGUCAACAAAUGCCCCCAUUCCAAAUUAGUGUACACACCUCCAUUUAGCCAAAGAACAAGUGGCUUCUAAGCUGGGUCUGUUUGUGCUUCAACAAAGUAGUAGAAAAGUGAUCUUUGUUACGAUGGGGAACAUCAUUUGGUCGAUUCUAGUAGUGUUUGAGGAAGAUGAGAUGGGACUAAACAAGAUGGUUGGCAAUAUAAGUGGAAGUUCAUUGAACUUCUACAAUGAAGAUGAGCAUAAAUUUCACAGUAAUGACCUACAUGAGGCAAUGUGCAAGCCUCAAGGAAAAUAGAAAACUUCAAAAACUCAGUAAAUACUUAUGUAUGCUCAACCUUGUGCAAGAUUCCAUUUUAUGGAGUAGAUUUUGGAUGGGGAAAACCCCUACGGGCUACUAGUCCAAGCAGUGCUACAAACAAAAUUGUCUUGCUGGAAACAAGAUGUGGUGAUGGAAUUGAAGCUUGGGUAACCUUGGAGGAGCAAGAGAAGGCGAGAUUCGAACGUGAUGAGGAGAUCCUUGCAUUUGCUUUUUGAAUCUUAGUGUCUUUUGUAAUUCGAGCCGCUUGUGAGUUAACUCCUCGAGCAUUGGUAUUUACUUGCUUAAACAUAAUUAUCAGUUGCUCUCUUUACUUUGUUUAAUCUAAUCUAAUCUAAUACUAUAGCUCUAAAGUUGGGUGCUUUUGGAGCAAUUCUGUGGCGAGCCAGGCUGGUUUUUGUGUAUGCGCGUGUUGUCUUCAUUAUUUCGCUUUUGUGUCCGUCAAUUUUGUCCUGCGUGUUCUGAUCUCGACGAUUGAAGCUGGUGCAUGUAUCCACAUGGCGUUUUCUGCCCCAUCACUCAACUCUGUAUGUUUUCGUUCCGAUUUUGAUGAAGCAACGAUAAACCCAGUAAAGACCAACCCACUUACCCAGGCACAUGCGUCGUCCCUGGAAAGUUCUCGAUGUGUCUUUUGCUCUGCUAUCGUCUAAUAUCGUUGCUUUUAGUUCGUGGUUGCCAUCUUUAGGUUGGUGAUUGCAAUUGUUGUGUCAUCGAUUAGGCUUUCAUUCGUUAUCGUAGAUUUGCUUGCUGCUGGCCCUGUUGCUUUCUUUGUUUUUUCUCUUUGCUCCGGACAAUGUUAUGCUCAUGGCGCUGAUGCUGCCAAUUAAUGUUUUAUGGAAAUUUAUAUUUCCUCACGGAUGAUCAUUUGCGCGUCCAUGCUUGCUUUCUCUGCUGCAUCUUCAAAUUUAUUCCUGCGUUUUUAAGCUUCUUUCAGUCCCUAUUCUUAUAGUUCACUUUAUGCUUUGAUUUUUUUCCAGUCUUCCUGUGGCCAUUACUCAUGCUCCGCUUUAUGGAUUUUCUCCUUUUGGUUUUGCCUUACAUAUCUGAUUGUCUGUUUGUGAAAUAGUUGAUUCUUCACUCUUUGACGGGUUUUGAUGUAGUUUUGCUCAGCUGCCUUGGGUCUUCUCAGGGACUAUUUUUUAAGCUUGGUAUGGGUAUCUGCUUUAUUGAUCGUCUCCUUCUGGUUUUGCCUUCGGUAUCUCAUUUGCUGUUUCUGAAAUAGUUGUUGUUUGGGGACUUGUAAGUUCCAGUUGUUGCUGUGGUUUUCGCCUUCAUCCUACAACUUUACUUUGUACUUCAGGAAUUACCUGCUAUUGAUGGCCACAUGGAAAGUAGCUCCUUCCCCAGCUGCUGGUUGUGCUGCAAUUCUCAAGUCCUCCUAAUUGGCAUCUCUAUGUGUAUAGAUUCUAUGUUGAAUUUGCAGUUUUUUUUUGCUCUAGCAAUAGUCUAUUAUGAUGGUUUCAAUUUCAGGAGUUGUUUGGAGCUAGUUGAGAUAUAUACAUAGGUUGGUCUUCCCCCUGAUGUUCUCAACAGCGUCACUGGAUUGGGCACUGAAGCUGGUGCUCCUUUGGCAUCUCAUCCCAAUGUUGACAAGAUUGCAUUUACUGGAAGUUCUGCUACUGGGUGCAAGAUAAUGACAGCGGCAGCUCAAAUGGUCAAGCCAGUUUCUCUGGAGCUUGGUGGGAAGAGUCCCAAUGUUGUGUUUGAGGAUGUGGAUCUUGAUAAAGGUUGGUAUCUUCUGAGACAUUUUUUAAAAUUUUUACAUUUUAGUGCUUUCAUCCUUUUAUAACUGUAUUCACUUUGUUGUAAACAAAUGUGUACACAAAAUGCUUGGAGAAUCUAACAUGAAUCGGGGAAAAUUGAUGUUUAUAUACCACUAUUAAAUAAUUCCAACAGCUGUUGAGUGGACUGUCUUCUCCAACUUGACAGGUUUUUUUGUGGGUGGAUUCAGUUAUUACAAACUAAUUUUUCACUUUUGGUUGCUUGGGAUUCAUCAAGUCAGUUACACACUUACACCGAUUGUUGUUUUGUGUAUUUCUGAAUGAUUUAUUAGUCUUUGUAUAGCCAUAUAAGAAGAGGACAUCAGCUUAAUUAGUCUUCUCAUCAUUGCCACUCUGGUUUUUCUUCAAACACAAAGUAUGCAUGACUGGUUUCAAUGGAACUGAGAGGCAGAGCAUGUUGCCUAAGAUGGUUAUUUGUUUGAUUCAGGUAUUACUAGCUGCUCUGAUGUUCUUUAUAUUCCAAGUGAUCCACUAUUGCAGCUUUUUGUUUGGGAUGCCUUUGUGUUUUUGUGGUUCUCCAAGAGAAUCUCACUCGAACCCAAUUCCGUUAUCAUCCCUUUCUUACUGCCAAACUUCCCUUUCCAAACAUGAUCCUCAUUGACAGGUUGGCUCUAGCUGGGUUUUAUAGCCAACCAUUCGACACUCUGUGUUGUGGACAUUCACAGAUGGUGUUAUCAUACAUUCAUGUUUACAUUCCCAAAUGGGGAAAGCCAAGCUGAAGGCACAAAGGUUUUUCUUCGAACAGUUGAUGUUAGCAGAGUUGAAUAUAUUCUAACUACAACUCAAUCGUCAAAAAAUAUGAGCUUGAGGGUUAUGUGCGAUGCUUGCACUCAAAAUUCAAAUUGAUGCUAACAGAAUAUCAAAAUACAUUCAUACAAAGGUUGAAUUAGAUGGGAACAAACUCAUUCCUCAAGGGAAAUGAAAAGAUUAUAAUUCUAUGAGGUAGUAGCUUAUUACUUGCAAUGCGGUCAGAUACAAGGGCAAACGAUGUAUUCUGGAGAAGCAUAUGAUGGUGGAGAGUGCAAGGAUAAUACUAAUUCAUAGCAGGAUAUUUUGAUUCUGGGUUAGACCUUGCAACCACACUCAUCUUCUUGUUCUUCCAAGAUACAAAUUUUUACCCAACAAACAUCAAAUUAUAUGCAGGGAGUCUCUGACUGAUUGAGAAUCCACCAAUCAACAUCUCUUAACGCUAUGGUUGACAAUGUUCAUGGUCAGAUUAUAGCAAACCAUGCCAUGGCGCACAUUUGAGAUUUGGUUGGAUACUUAUAAUUUCAUCGUGGAGUGUGUGUGUGUGUGUGUAUGUUCCUACCUUUUAUUUUGUAGGUAUGAUGAGAUGUGAUUGCCCUUUAUAAUUUAAUGAACUUUAAUGUGGCUGUGAUUGUGGUGUAUUCCAGCCUUUUUCUAUAUGGUUCUUUGAGAGGGAGUCAUACUUAUCCUUCAGUUACAAAAAAAUAUUUAUAUAGCCCGAGUCCUUAUUAUGGUUACUUUGGAUAGUUGGGAGUUACGGUGUUGUGAAACUUUUGAAUCAUUAGUUCCCCUAAAAGAUUCUAUCAUCUCUUCUAAAUGUCAAGGUGGCUUCUGGGUAAUUGUUCUUGGAAGUAGCAUGGAUUGCAUCCUUUGAGAGGGAGUUAUACAUAUCUAAAUAAUAUUUAUGUAGCCAGAGUUCUUAUUAUGAUUACUCUGGUUGGAAGUUAGGGUGUUGAGAAAAUUGUGAAUCAUUAGUUCCUAUAGAAGAUUCUGUCUUCAUAUACUCUUGCAAGCUGGCAGGCAUUCUAUUCUCUUCUACUUGUUAUGUUGGGACUACUUGAGGUUCAAGUUAGUGUUUCUCAAACUUUACUUGAAUAUGAGCAACUCUUGUAAUUUCUGGUAAUUUGAUCCCUGGGUUGAAGCUUGAUUCGAUUAUAUUUUGAAUCAAAUUUCUUGAUAGAUGACAUGAUUUCUUUCAAUAAAAAAGAAGUGCCAUAUUUUCUGAGGUACGCUAUGGGUUGGAUCAUAUUGCUUUGGUGGCAAGUCUCAAUAUGUUUUUGUAGCUUAUUUAAGAUGGGUAUAAUUGUGUUUCAUUUUAUUCGGUAGACAGCAUGAGCAAGAUGUUGAAGAUUUUUUUUCUUCCCCUCAAAAUUAUUAAUGGUCUCAUCAAUUUGGAAGUUAUUGACAACGAGUUUUCUGCCGCCUAAUAGAUUUGGUAGCUUUGAGCUGAAGAAUCACUUGCAUUUUCAUAGACAUUAGUUAAGUGGUGUCCUGUGCCAUCUUCCUUGCCUUGUUCAAAGGCCAUUUUUUUUGGAGUGUGAAAAGGCAAUUGUAUGUAUCAUGAAGUUGGUUCCUUGAAGUUGAAUGCGUUUGCAUUAAUAUGCGGAUGGAGCUCUUUGUUUUGGUCGCUCCUUGAUUUUGUUGUCAGUACGUGGCAUUUGCAGUUAUUAUUGUGGGGGAAUCUGUUGCUCGUUGGUUUGCUUUUCACCAUUAUUCAUCUUUCCAUCAUUGUUUGUAGAGGUGUUUCCAGAUCCUUACAAUGGUUUUGAUCCUAUACUGGAGCAGGUUGCUAACAUCCCUGGGAUGCGUUUGGCAGAUAAACUGUUUAGAAAUAUUUGGAUCAUUGGUCGCCAGUCAUAAUUUAGUUGUCAACUUCUCUCGGUGAAUUCUAUUCUUUGUUCUUAUUCUCUCGUGACCUUACCUUGUAUGUUGUUGUUUAUAUUGGGAGUGCCCUGGCAUUUUCAUUCAUAUGGUUCUUGUAACAACGUUAUUUCCUAGGUUGAGCGGAGCAAAAACAAGCGAUGGUGCAAUGGGUUCUCAGAUUGUGUUAUUUUAUACAAGACGUCUGUUUCUGACUGCAAUUAAUAGUUACUUACUUCACAUGGUGGAAUUUAGUUUGAUACAUCUCUUUAGGAGCAAUGUCCUCUUAAGGGUAGUGAGCUGGCUGCCUGGCUAACAGUAUGGUGAUUUGAUUUCUCAAGUUUAUGUGGUACCUUUUCGACUAUGAUUUUUUGAUUUUUUGAAUCCUGUUAUUGACAACUAGCUUGCUUGCCUUAAAUUUUUUGACAAUAUGUUGUUGCAGACUUGCAGCACUAUGACAUGGUAUAAGAUUUCUGGAGUAGUUAUAUUUUCAUCAACAUUUUAAUGGUCUCAUCAAUGAUGAAGUUAUUAUCUGAAUUCUAAGAUAUUGACAAUGCUAUUUGAUGGUCUUAUCUUAUGUAGCUUCAUGUGUUGUUUUUUAUUUCACAAUUGUAGUGUCAUAUGGAUUCUUGUUUUAUGUUUUUAUGGGGUCCUUGUGUGUUGGCUUUGGUUAAGUGCUAAACCAAGUCAUGGUGUUUGCCUUGUGUUUUUUGUUCGCUUCUGUGUUAAAGCUUGACUAUGGCUGUGAAUUAGUUAUCUAUUGUAGUGCAUAUUGUCGUCAUCUAAGGAGGCUUCUACUUUCAUAUCAAAAGUGUUUAUUGUGUUUCUGUGUUUGCCUUUGGCAGUAAAGUUGAUCAUGAAAUUGUGGCUUAUUGUCUUAACUUGAAAGAUUCAAUUCUCCUCUUUAGAAGCUUGAUGUUCUCUUCUUUUGUUCUUUUAUGACCUUGCUUGAGAUUCAAUUGUAGUUUUUUUUUGUGUGAUGCUCGAAAUUCUCAUGACUUAACUGUAUCAUAUGCAACUUUGUUUCAGCAGGGUUGAUGUGAGGUGACUAAUUUCGUUGUCUUCUUGGAAGCGGUAUGGGAUAGAAUUAUCUGAGAGAGAGUAUCUACUUACCCCUUCUUUAUUUUUACCCUACUGCUUGGAUGCUUACUUAUGCUUUAUUUGGGAGUGAGGCUUUUGAGAAAUCUUACUAUGCUUUUGAUAAUAGCUUACUUUCUGAGAUGUUUAUUGCCUUACUGGUUUAGUUCAUGUACACUGAUGUUCUAUUGCUUUCGUAAUUUUAGGCUUUCAGCUUUUGCGAUGGCAAAAUUUCUGACUACCUAGUUAAGUUUGUGAAUCACGGUGGGGAGCUCCCUUUUUUCUCUCUCGUUAGUUGAUAUUUUUCUUAGCUUGGCUAUAGAUUUUUUGGAUGCUUAACAUGGCUUAGUCGCACUUUAGGCUCUGCAUUUGCACGAAGUAGAAAUAAUUAUAGAAAUGCCAUCUUAACAGAAUAUUAGGCCAGAGCUGAGAUUGGUGUUCUUUCUUGGAGAACUUUCUAUUUUAUCAAUUUCGGGAAAACUUGUAGGGUACCAAAAUGCAUGUUCUCUGCAGUGAUUGUUUUGUUUAGAGGCAUAAAAAUAUAUUUUAUGUGCUCCUGUGAAUCAAUUAAGCAUAAUGCGAGGAUAAGCUCUUGGAAGUAGCAUCAAUUGUGCAUAACUAUGAGGGUGAGCUUCUGGAAGUGGCGUGACGUCACAUUUAAACUGACAUUUUAUGCUUGAUUAUGCAGAACUGAGAGGCAGAGCAUGUUGCCUAAGAUGGAUAUUUGUUUGAUUCAGUGCUUCUGUGGUUGGUUCUCCAAGCGAAUCCCACUUGAACCCAAUUCAGAAAUCACCCCUUGCUGAUCCUCGUUGGUAGGUGGGCUUUAGCUGGGUGGUUAUGCCAACCAUUUGACACUCGCUAUGUCGUGGACAUUCAUAGAUGGUGGAUAUGGUGCUCUCAUAGAUUGAUGCUUACAUUCCCAAAUGGGGAAAAGCCAAGAUAAAGGCACAAAGCUUUUUCCUCGCUCUGUUAAUGUUAGCAGCAGCAGCUGUAUAUAUAUCAUAACUACAACUCAAUCGUCAAAAGAUGUGGAGCGUGGGAAGGGUUUUGUGCGAGUGUUUGAGAUCAAAAUUCAAUACUGAUGCAAACUGUUUAUCAAAGAUGCGUUCGUACAAAGGGUGAAUUAGAUGGAAACAAACUCAUGAGUAGCAAAUCAUGCCAAAUGAAUAUAAAAUGGCAUUUAGAAACUGAGUCUGAUGGAGAGAACCCUCCAAGCAAUCAACAUCCCUUUGCCCUAUAAUUGACUAUGUUCAUGGUCAGAUUGUAGCAAAUCAUGCCAGGGGCCACAUUUUGAGAUUCUGUGGAAUGAGCAUAGUAAAAGGUUAAAACUGUAUCUUCAAUGCCAAA